rnacentral:rRNA from 1 species
GGAGUUUGGACCGUGUCUCAGUUCCAAUGUGGCCGAUCAACCUCUCAGUUCGGCUACGCAUCCUCGCCUUGGUGGGCUGUUAUCUCACCAACUAGCUAAUGCGCCGCAGGUCCAUCCUUAAGUGACCCUUGAAGGGGCCUUUCAAGCAAAGAAGAUGCCUUCUCUGUUGUUAUCCGGUAUUAGCCAAAGUUUCCUCUGGGUAUCCCAAGCUUAAGGGCAGGUUACCUACGUGUUACUCACCCGUUCGCCACUCGGUAUUGCUACCUCGUUCGACUUGCAUGUAUUAGGCACGCCGCCAGCGUUCAUC